UAGGGAAUCUUCCGCAAUGGGCGAAAGCCUGACGGAGCAACGCCGCGUGAGUGAUGAAGGUCUUCGGAUCGUAAAACUCUGUUAUUAGGGAAGAACAAAUGUGUAAGUAACUAUGCACGUCUUGACGGUACCUAAUCAGAAAGCCACGGCUAACUACGUGCCAGCAGCCGCGGUAAUACGUAGGUGGCAAGCGUUAUCCGGAAUUAUUGGGCGUAAAGCGCGCGUAGGCGGUUUUUUAAGUAUGAUGUGAAAGCCCACGGCUCAACCGGGGAGGGUCAUUGGAAACUGGAAAACUUGAGUGCAGAAGAGGAAAGUGGAAUUCCAUGUGUAGCGGUGAAAUGCGCAGAGAUAUGGAGGAACACCAGUGGCGAAGGCGACUUUCUGGUCUGUAACUGACGCUGAUGUGCGAAAGCGUGGGGAUCAAACAGG
rnacentral:rRNA from 1 species